AUGAUAGUCACAGAGAGAGAGAGAGAGAGAGAGAGGCAGAGACAUAGGCAGAGGGAGAAGCAGGCUCCAUGCACCGGGAGCCCAAUGUGGGAUUCGAUCCCGGGUCUCCAGGAUCACGCCCUGGGCCAAAGGCAGGCUCCAAACCACUGCACCACCCAGGGAUCCCCUAAAGAAAAAUUUUUUUGUAGAACUUGCUUUCUUUAAGAAAUACAGUAAAGCACCACAGAUCACAUAUUCAAAGUAACUUGAAAAAAAAUGACGUAAAGAGUGAUUAAGGAUUAUAAUUUCACUUUAAUAUUGACUCAGUCUAAAUUAAAUAUUUGACAUCUAAACUACAUUAAAAUGGCUGCCUAGAAUCUAGUGUCUGAAGUUGGAGCCUCUUGAAGUUUGCCGCAUAGUGUUAAACAAAUGAACAAAAAAACCUUCCAACAGGACAAAAUCAUUUGUGCCCAAAUCUCUUCCCCACUAUCCUACAGUUGCCACACAUACCCCAUGUAACCAGACUGAAAUUCUCAACUCUCUGAGGUAACUAACUAAAGGAUUCCAUCAUAGAGCCAUAAGAGAGAGACCAAGAAGUCAAAAGGAGGGGAAUCAGUAGCCAAAACAUAUACUUUAUGAGAGCGUACUCCUCUUGCCUCUUUCCAUGAGACCAUUGAUUUUACAAGAGAAGCUAGAGGAGACUUUCAGACUUCAGGAAGGAUCUACUGGUCAGAUACGUUACUGUGGACUGUUGCAUGGCACAAUCUGAUGAGCAAUAAAAUGAUAACUCAGAGAGACCUGAAGGGGCUUCACCUCCAAGUUGGCUCCCAGCUUUAUUAUUGUAGAAUGUAAAGUAUGCGGAAGCAAGGAAGGAAAAACAGCUCAAGAAACCAAUCCUGAGAAGGGCAACAGGGAACUGUGUCCGUGACCAUCUGCACGGGCCUCAGGGGAGCAUUAACUGGAGGGCAGCGGGGGUUGGGAGAACUGACCUCAGCAGGCCUGGCUGUCUGUCAUCGUUGCUGUGAUCAGCACAUACUGUCUUAGGUAGGGACCCAUGGCAGGAAUAAGUGGCUUUUGCCACACGCAUAGAGCUGUUGCCAUUUGUGCAUGUCCCUGUACUUAGGGUUGCUUUUACCCAUUGAGGUCUUGCUGUCCCACAGUGGACUUUAGGAGAAGCAUGUGAUGUUCCUGCUCAGGAAAGUAGGGCAAGGAGAGGAGGUCAGGAGUGGGGAUGGGAGUGGCUUGGGUCUGUGAGUGAGUGUGGCUUCAUUAGAGCCAGAUAAUUUAUACCUAUUAUACUCUUAAGGUCACUCUUAGAGUUUAGCUUGCAUAUAUCUGAGGUAUUAUAGAUACCCACCUUAGGUAUUUUUUCUGAAUAGAUGGCUCUGUUCUUUAUGAAAGGAACAGGUAUAAAAGAAUGUGACACUUUUAUCUAUUUGCUUAUUAAAUGUUUAUACUUCAACUGCUUCCAAAAAAGAUUGUGUAAUAUAUAAGCCAUUAAUUCAAACAUAAAAAAAGCAAGCAAGCACUGAGACCAGGGUUAGGGGAGGAAAGCAGGAAGGCGAGAGAGGAGAACCAUACAGUUUGUGCCAAGAUCAGCUUCAACAGAGUACUCCCAAGGACAGGAGAGUUGUAUGAGUUCAUACAUGAAGUACAGCUGAUGGGUAUUUUCUCCAGUGCUCAGAGAGGUCACACUGUAGGGCACUUGUUGCUGGUACCAAAAAUGGAUCUGUGCUCUAGAUCUGACAACAGCUAAAGAGAAUUGUCUCAUCUGCAUAUUUCUGCAGCACCUAGAGAGAACUUUUAUAAGUUCAUUGAAAAAAGAAGUGAAGUGACAUAAUUUCCAGUAGAAGACUGGAGGGUCAGUUCUACACUGUCUUCUACAAGUGAAAGAAAGUAGUUCUGAGCCCCUUCCAGAUGCCAAGGGACCUAUAAGUAGACAACAGAUGAAGAGAAGUACUUACAGAGGCCCCAUAGAUACAUAGUCAACUCUUAGCAACUUCCUCUAUGAGCAGGAUCUAUAGGGUUCAAUCUUUAUGUCAGAGAAGUAAUGAGGACCUGCUGCUUCCCAUAAUCCCUACUGUAGUUGGGAUCAGUUGGUGGAGGCAGUGAAGGGAAGUGAUGAUCAUACCAAUAGAUAUCAGGAAUCACCAUCUUCAAACCAACUGCUGCAUUUCCAGCAACCUCUGCUAAUAGCCAUGAUAGUAACAUUCAAUUGGAGAAAAUACCACCACCAAGUCUCUAUUUAUUUGGACCAUCAAAUAAUAGUGUCAGACGGUCAAAUAGUAUCCACAGGUUUCUGGCCUUUCCUCCAGUCUAACAUGAGUACUGUUAAUAACCCCGAGAAGGGCAGAGAAUAUUGGUCCUUCAAUACAUUUACAGUGUGAAUCUGUUUAGUGUUGAGCCUUCGAUUUACAUAUCGUUGGCAUCUCUGGAGUCUCCAGCAAUACAAGAGUGAUACGAGGAAGGUAGAAUCCAGAUAGCUUCAAAGUUGGCUUCAGAAGGGAAAGGUGAUCAAUUCAGUGUCCUUUGUUUAGAUCAUUAACUCACCCAGCCUGAUUGCUAUCUGCAUCUUCAGGAAGAGAGAAAAUACAUUUGAAGUUUUACUAAAUUCUCUGUGGGACCAAGGAAUUUCAAGGUAGCCCUGAUGUGCGGCCUAGCUGAAAUAGCAAGAUGGCCAGAGAAGAUACUGUAUUGCAUGGUCAUCGAGUCCAGAUAGGAUGUUGGUAACUUGGUAGAGGAACAAACAGCUUCAUGGAAACUGAGUCAUUGGCAGCUUUGGGAUAUCUUCAAUGGGGCAGAAGCUGCCUCAGCCAGACCCUGCUGCAGGAAGCAAUGGCAGGAAAGAAGGAAAAAGGGACAAGACAGCUAGAAAGUAGUACUUGUAAGUACACGUUUAUGUACUUGGGAGAUGCCCAGAAAUAGUCAAAGGUCAACUGUCAAGUGAGUGUUUGGGUUUGUGGAAUUGGUAGUAGGGUACACCAGAGACAGGACUCAUAAAGCCAAGGAGAUAGAAGCUGCACACACUUCACAGGUGGUGAGGGAUGCAUGUGUGCACACACACACAUAUGCACACACACAAAGAUUUGAUCCAUUUUAAAAAAUUCAAUUGUUUUCCAGCCCUUAGAUUUCUUUUUCUUUUUUAAUUUUUAUUUAUUUAUGAUAGUCACAGAGAGAGAGAGAGAGAGAGGCAGAGACAUAGGCAGAGGGAGAAGCAGGCUCCAUGCACCGGGAGCCUGAUGUGGGAUUCGAUCCCGGGUCUCCAGGAUCGCGCCCUGGGCCAAAGGCAGGCGCCAAACCGCUGCGCCACCCAGGGAUCCCUAACCCUUAGAUUUCAUUAGAGCGUGACCCAGCAAAGAAGGAUAUACUGUACUUUUUAAGUGCAAAGGGUUUUGGGGGGACAUUUCCUAAUUGGUGAGAAAAAUUUAACAACGCUGCUACCCAAUUGAGUAUUUUCAAACUUUAUAUCUUAAAUAUUUCAGCAACCUACUGCUGUAUAACAGCGACCUCAAAAUGUACUGGCAUAAGACAACAUGAAUGAUUUUUCACAACUCUGCGUCUUGACUAGGCUUAUAUGGCGAUCUGCUACUCCUCACGGUUGACUGGG
rnacentral:lncRNA from 1 species